rnacentral:lncRNA from 1 species
ACAAGUGGACUUGGUGGCUUGGAAGAGUCAGCUGACUUGUCCCACACGUCAGAACCAAGUCUGGACUUCCCACAUCUAGUAUCUGGAUGCAUUGUUCAUUCAACUAUGCCAGAGUCCUAGCAGUGUUGAUGGUCAUGCUAAAACACAUCUAGACCUGACACAUUCUCCUUGUAGUCAAUGAUGCGGUAAGAUGAUGCAGAUUUUUCAUGGCACCAGUAAGUGAACCAGAUGGUCAGUCAAAAAUGACAUGCCCAGCCUCCAGAAUCAUCAUUUCCAAAAUUACGGGGAUACUGAUUGGCAAAGAAACUAAACACUUAUAAACAUCUCAUGUACCCCCAAAAUAUAUACACCUACUAUGUACCCACAAAAAUUAAAAAUUAAAAAAAAGAUUUUAGGUUAAGAUUUAAAGAUAAGAAGGAAAGUAAAAAAGGAGUCUUCUAUUUUAUGUUUAUUUGUUUUUUCAAAUCCUAAGCCUGGACAAAGG